rnacentral:rRNA from 1 species
GACGGAGGAUGCAAGUGUUAUCCGGAAUCACUGGGCGUAAAGCGUCUGUAGGUGGUCAAAUAAGUCAACUGUUAAAUCUUGAGGCUCAACCUCAAAAUCGCAGUCGAAACUAUUAGACUAGAGUAUAGUAGGGGUAAAGGGAAUUUCCAGUGGAGCGGUGAAAUGCGUAGAGAUUGGAAAGAACACCGAUGGCGAAGGCACUUUACUGGGCUAUUACUAACACUCAGAGACGAAAGCUAGGGUAGCAAAU